rnacentral:rRNA from 1 species
UUCGGCGGUCAUAGCGGUAUGGGUUACACCUGGUCUCGUUUCGAUCCCAGAAGUAAAGUCUUCCUGCGUUUUUGGUUGUACUGUGGCUUAGUGGCUAUGGGAAGCUUUUGACGCUGCCGGCC